rnacentral:rRNA from 1 species
GCACUGAAACGUACAUCUGAAGGAGGAUUUAGCAGUAAGCAGGAAAUAGAGCGUCCCGCUGAAACCGGCCCUGAAGCGCGCACACACCGCCCGUCACUCUCCCCAAAGACGCCAAUAAAUUAACUAAAACCUAAUAAUUAAAAAGGGGAGGCAAGUCGUAACAUGGUAAGCGUACCGGAAGGUGCGCUUGGAAAAAUC